ACUCCUGCGGGAGGCAACAGUGGGGAAUAUUGCACAAUAGGCGCAAGCCUGAUGCAGCCAUGCCGCGUGUAUGAAGAAGGCCUUCGGGUUGUAAAGUACUUUCAGCGGGGAGGAAGGCGAUAAGGUUAAUAACCUUGUCGAUUGACGUUACCCGCAGAAGAAGCACCGGCUAACUCCGUGCCAGCAGCCGCGGAAUACGGAGGGUGCAAGCGUUAAUCGGAAUUACUGGGCGUAAAGCGCACGCAGGCGGUCUGUCAAGUCGGAUGUGAAAUCCCCGGGCUCAACCUGGGAACUGCAUUCGAAACUGGCAGGCUAGAGUCUUGUAGAGGGGGGUAGAAUUCCAGGUGUAGCGGUGAAAUGCGUAGAGAUCUGGAGGAAUACCGGUGGCGAAGGCGGCCCCCUGGACAAAGACUGACGCUCAGGUGCGAAAGCGUGGGGAGCAAACAGGAUUAGAUACCCCUGUAGUCC
rnacentral:rRNA from 1 species